UAGCCUGUUAAAGCUGCAGUGCUUUAAGAGGCUAACCCAGAAUGAAGGGUAUAAUAAUUCUCCAUUAAACCCAAAUCAGAGAUUUAAAACUCUUUUUUGGAUCCUGUCUGGAGUUACAGUU
rnacentral:snoRNA from 15 species